UUAUUAAUUUAUUUACUGUUAUUUAAUGUAUGCGCUCUCUUCUCAUGCCCUUUUUCCUCCCAGGGAAGCUUAAGAUUUUCAACUGUAGAGAAAUUAAAUCUUUUUUCUCAGGUUGAUCAAAUCGUUUCGAAGAUUAUUUGAAUCUGGUUAUGGUUGGCGAGCAGAGCAAACCAUGGGUGAAGUUGCCAAUCCAGCAUCCGUCCCAGCUGCUGUACAAUGCGAGCCUUCCUCUACAGGUAAGAGCAAGCUAAACAACAAUAUUCAAGUUAUAGAUUCUAAGAAGGAAAAUAUGAAAACGUCACUAAAUAAUUCUACACAAAAUGGUGCAGCAACUAAAUCGCUUAAAAAGAAGAAAAAGAAGCCCUCUGCAUUUAGGGAUUUUCCUCCCGGUUGUGGGCGUUUUGCUGAACCCAUAAUUCGAAAUCUUAAUCCUUCUCCUUCUUUUUCUGCUGCUCAUAAAGAAGGAAAACAAGAAAUAUCGACGCCCAAACAGCCCGAAAUGCCUUCUCUUUCUCCUCAUUCUCCUCUGUACUCUGUCUCCGAUCAUCUUCAACAUCAGAAAAAUUCAUUGCAUAUUGAAACAUCUUCCCCUUCACGUCCUCCUCUCCCGGACCAUGAAGAGCAACAUCACUCAACAAUAGUUAAAGAUCCUGAAAAUCUACCAUCCACUGGCCAUUUGGAAAGACAACAAAUACCAAUUGCUACGGAGGCUGAAGGUGGGAUUCUGGAUUCUCUCGAGGCUAUCUCUCCAGCUACAGCCGGGAUGCUCAUGUGUUCGCCUGAUUCUCCUACAGCAGCCCCUGUUAAUCUCUCACCAUUAUCUGUCUCUGCAGUUCGUGACUUCUCCGUGUGCUCUACUUGCCCUGAGAUGCUCAUGUGUCCGCUUCUGACUCAGCCCUUUUCUCCUUCUACAGCCCCCAUUAGGUUCCCUAAGCGCUUUGUCUCUGCAAAUCGAGAUUUUCCCUUUGGAUGUGGGAGAAACGCACCCCCAACCACAAGAGAAGAGUGCCUCCGAGCUAUUGCAGCCCACAAAGCCUCCAAGGAUCCCACCAUGCAGCUUAUCCCAUUCCCUGCAACUUUGGAGCAAGCAGAAGCAAAUUCUGACUUGGACUCAAAAACUGUGGUGAAUCAGCUGGAUUUAAUUCCUAAAGAUAAUGAAGCAAUGCCAGUCCCUACAUUUAUAGAUAGUGAAGCAACUCCAACUGCUCCAUAUGAGGAGCUUGCCCAUAGCUCAGAUGAGGAAAAGAACCUUUCGAACAGACAAGCCUUGAUGGUAUCAACUAAUCAUAAUUCUGAAAUGUCACAAAAAUCUAAGGCAAAUGGUGAAAUCGCCUAUAGUGGGAUUGUUUUGAGGAACAGAGCUUCUAGCUCAUCGAUACAGCCCCGGAGGAAAAAUAAUCUACCAGAUGGGCAAGCCUUGAUGAUAUCUAGUUCGACUGAAUCCCAGCUAUCUGAUCCAAAUACCUCCGAAGAUAGUAAAGAAACUCCUAAGUAUGGAGUUUCUGGCCUCAAAGUAGAGGAAGGCCUGCCAUAUGGGCAAGGUUUGUUAGAAGCAUCACCUAUACCCCUGCACUCUCAAACAAAGCCAAAACGUGUACAGAAAUCCAAAGGAAAAGUAAAGGCCGCCGAUGGUGGAAGCUCUACAAAUACAUCCAAGAAGAAAUCUCAACUCAAUUUGAAGCCUAAGGUUCAAAGUGUGAGCUUCGCUCUUACACCCUUUGAUAGUGCUGAUGGGCAAGCUAAAUCUGAUGGUGAUGGAACAGUUACACGUGCCAAAGUCAGAGAGACCAUGCGGCUUUUUCAAGUGCUUUAUAGGAAAUUCUUGCAGGAGGAAGAAAACCGUAGUAAGGAGUCCAGACAAGGCCACAGAAGGCCAGAUAUAAUGGCUGCUAAUGUUCUCAAGGAAAAAAAUAAAUAUCUUAACACUGGGGAGAAGAUUGUGGGUAAUGUUCCUGGUGUUGAAGUUGGAGAUGAAUUUCACUAUAGGAUUGAGCUUAUGAUUGUUGGUCUUCAUGGACAGUCGCAGGGUGGGAUUGAUUAUUUGAACUUAAAGAAAGGUAAAUCUAUUCUUGCUACUAGUAUUGUGGCAUCAGGUGGUUAUGCAGAUAAUGAUGAAGGCGAAGUGUUGAUCUACUCCGGACAAGGUGGGAACAGAGAUAAGAAGGGGAAGCAGAUGGAGGACCAGAAACUUGAGCGUGGGAACUUGGCACUCAAGAACUGCAUAGAUGCAGGCUCACCUGUUAGAGUAAUACGAGGAUUUAAGGACUCAAGGAAUUCUGGUGGAGGUCGAGGUAGCCAGGAUGCCACUCUGAGCAAGACAGGCACCACAUACACGUACGAUGGCCUUUAUCUUGUAGAGAGAUAUUGGCAGGAAACGGGAACCAGUGGUUUUUCAGUGUUCAAAUUUCAGUUGAGAAGAAUGCCAGGCCAACCUGAGCUAGCCUGGAACAUUGUUAAAUCUGUUGGACGAGCAAAAAAGGGGGCACCUCGUGAAGGCCUUUGCCUUCAAGAUAUAUCCCAAGGCAAAGAAACAAGGCCAAUUUGUGUUGUUAAUACAGUAGAUGAUGAAGCUGGGCCAGCACCUUUUGAAUAUACUGCUAAAAUUAUAUAUCCAUCAGGGUUUAAUCCUCCUCCUCCAAGAGGCUGUGCUUGUGUUGAUGAAUGCUCCGACUCUGAAAAGUGUCUCUGUGCUGUCAAGAAUGGAGGUGAACUGCCUUACAACUACACUGGUUCUAUUGUUGAAGCAAAGCCCUUAGUUUACGAGUGUGGUCCAUCUUGUAAAUGUCCACCAACUUGUCACAACAGAGUAAGCCAACAUGGUGUAAGAAAUAAUCUUGAGAUAUUUAAAACUGAUAAGAGAGGUUGGGGAGUACGGUCACUGUCUUCAAUAACUUCGGGCAGUUUCAUAUGUGAAUACACUGGUGAACUUCUUUCUGACAUGGAAGCUGAACAGAGGACUGGAAAUGAUGAGUACCUAUUUGAUAUUGGAAGAAGUAAUGAUCAAUCUCUCUGGGAUGGUCUCUCUGGUUUAGUCAAUGAGCUCCCAUCUCAUUCUAUAAGUGAAACUGUGGAGGAUGUAGGUUAUACCAUUGAUGCAGCCAAGUAUGGAAGUGUUGGACGAUUUAUUAAUCAUAGUUGUUCUCCAAAUCUAUAUGCACAAAAUGUUCUUUUUGAUCAUGAUGAUAAGAAUAUCCCACACAUUAUGCUUUUUGCUGCUGAGAAUAUUCCUCCCCUGCAAGAGCUUUGUUAUCACUAUAACUAUAACCCUGACAGUGUUCGAGAUUCUGAUGGAAACAUAAAGAAGAAAAGCUGUUAUUGUGGCUCCGAUGAGUGCACUGGAAGAUUAUACUGAACACAUGUGAAACUGCUCUGGUACCAUAUACUCUUGCCAUUUUUCGAAGCAACCUUUCAUUCAUGAGAUUCAGCACAAUGGCAUUCCGUUGUGGUCCAAGGAAGACUUUGUCUUCAUGUGGAGGUUGUAUGGUGAGUACAGUCAAGUUCCCCAGCAGACAUAAAAUAUCUUUACAAACAUGUAAGAAACCUAUUUCAAGGGCCUAUACCAAGGGCUUGAGCUAAUGUUUUAGGUUUCAUAUGAUUGGUGGAUGAUAUUUUGAUCACAUAUUGUCUGAAUUUAUGCAUAGAUGGUGAUAUGAUUCUUUUGUAGGGUGUAUGAUUGAACUGUCCCUAUUCCCAAAUUUCCCUGCAAGAUAACAAAUUGGUAUCAUCCCCAUUAUUUGUAUAUCAUCUUUUCAAAUGUAUAAAUUUCUUUCUUCAGAGUGAUCUUAGAUUCUUAA